GGAGGCGUAGCUCAGCGGUAGAGCGGCAGAUUGCAAAUCUGUAGGUCCCGUGUUCAAUCCACGGCGCUUCCU
rfam:Mucor circinelloides f. lusitanicus CBS 277.49 MTCCIscaffold_02, whole genome shotgun sequence.